rnacentral:rRNA from 1 species
AGUGAACGCUGGCGGUAGGCCUAACACAUGCAAGUCGAACGGCAGCACAGGAGAGCUUGCUCUCUGGGUGGCGAGUGGCGGACGGGUGAGGAAUACAUCGGAAUCUACUCUGUCGUGGGGGAUAACGUAGGGAAACUUACGCUAAUACCGCAUACGACCUACGGGUGAAAGCAGGGGACCUUCGGGCCUUGCGCGAUUGAAUGAGCCGAUGUCGGAUUAGCUAGUUGGCGGGGUAAAGGCCCACCAAGGCGACGAUCCGUAGCUGGUCUGAGAGGAUGAGCAGCCACAAUGGAACUGGGACACGGUCCAGACUCCUACGGGAGGCAGCAGUGGGGAAUAUUGGACAAUGGGCGCAAGCCUGAUCCAGCCAUACCGCGUGGGUGAGGAAGGCCUUCGGGUUGUAAAGCCCUUUUGUUGGGAAAGAAAUCCAGCUGGCUAAUACCCGGUUGGGAUGACGGUACCCAAAGAAUAAGCACCGGCUAACUUCGUGCCAGCCGCCGCAGUAA